AACUAUGACUCUCUUAAG
rnacentral:ncRNA from 3 species